CAGUAGCCGCGGUAAUACGAAGGGUGCAAGCGUUAAUCGGAAUUACUGGGCGUAAAGCGUGCGUAGGCGGUUUGUUAAGUCUGCUGUGAAAUCCCCGGGCUCAACCUGGGAAUGGCAGUGGAUACUGGCAAGCUAGAGUGUGUCAGAGGAUGGUGGAAUUCCCGGUGUAGCGGUGAAAUGCGUAGAGAUCGGGAGGAACAUCAGUGGCGAAGGCGGCCAUCUGGGACAACACUGACGCUGAGGCACGAAAGCGUGGGGAGCAAACAGGAUUAGAUACCCGGGUAGUCCCUGUCUCUUAUAC
rnacentral:rRNA from 1 species